GUAAUUGAAAACAUACACGAAGCAUUCGGUGCUGCACGUGGCCCAAAGCCUGCCUGGUAUUUCACACGUCUCGAGUCACCACCAGAGAGGUCUUGACCCUGGACUGGGACUAUGUGCAAAUGUUGGAAAUACUCAUACAUCACUUGAACAGGAAGAUUGGGAAAUAUUCAAGCCAGAACUUCUGAGGGACACCUCCAUGUCCCAAACAGGUCCCAUUCCUUGGGUCUGAAUCACAACCGCAUGAAAUAGC